rnacentral:rRNA from 1 species
UACAGAGAGGGCAAGCGUUAUUCUGCUGUAUUGGGUGUAAAGGGUAUGUAGGAGGUUCCAGUGACAUUCUGUGAAAGCUUUGAGAAGAACUGAAGAAACACAGUGUUGGAUUGCGGGACUGAAUUAGGUAGGAGUUGAGAGAAUUUCAUAAGGAAGGAUCAAAUCUGCAGAUAUAUGAAGGAAGACCAUAGGCGAAAGGCGCCCUUCUAGACUUAAUUGACUCUUGAGGUACGAGAGUAUGGGUAGCAAACGGG